GAAAAAAAACAAGAAAUCAAAAAAACAAAAAAAGGAAGGCAAGUUCAACAUCGUCUUCGGAGCAAGAAACAACUGAUAGUGACAGUUCUACCUCUGAGUCUGAGACUCAAGAAGACCCAGAGGAUUCACCAAGAAAACAACCCAGCAAAAAGAGGAAAAAAAAACACAAUCCAAAAAGAAAAAGGUUGUUGUUGAGCAUUCAUCUCCUGAAGAAGAUCAAUUCUAUGAUGGUGACAGAUAUGAAAUAGGAAGUGAAGAUCUAGAUGAA